GCACAAGCGGUGGAUGAUGUGGUUUAAUUCGAUGCAACGCGAAAACCUUACCCACCUUUGACAUGUACGGAACCCUUUAGAGAUAGAGGGUGCUCGAAAGAGAGCCGUAACACAGGUGCUGCAUGGCUGUCGUCAGCUCGUGUCGUGAGAUGUUGGGUUAAGUCCCGCAACGAGCGCAACCCUUGUCAUUAGUUGCUACAUUCAGUUGGGCACUCUAAUGAGACUGCCGGUGACAAGCCGGAGGAAGGUGGGGAUGACGUCAAGUCCUCAUGGCCCUUAUAGGUGGGGCUACACACGUCAUACAAUGGCUGGUACAAAGGGUUGCCAACCCGCGAGGGGGAGCUAAUCCCAUAAAACCAGUCGUAGUCCGGAUCGUAGUCUGCAACUCGACUACGUGAAGUCGGAAUCGCUAGUAAUCGUGGAUCAGAAUGUCACGGUGAAUACGUUCCCGGGUCUU
rnacentral:rRNA from 1 species